rnacentral:lncRNA from 7 species
CCAGAGAUUGCUCCUCUUGGAGUUUUUUUCUGUGAGCCUAUAAUACAGGUAAUAGCAUAGUGCUGGAGGACAACCAUGGUGAGAUUUUCCAUCAAGUUAGUUUGAAGCAAAAUAUGAAGGUCUCAGACUUGCUGCAGUGAAGAGCUCUGGUCUCUGUCAUUAUGUCCACAAAUUUCCUUAGAAGAUGACAUCCAUCUUCUUGCUCAUGGAUAACGUAAUGUUUCAUGAAGCUAACAGUUAGAUCACCGAUAGGGAACUUCAUCUUCCACAAAACUAUUGUGUCAUCAUUAUUGCUGUUACACAGGCAGAAGGAAUAAAAUAUUACUGCCAUAUGAAUAUAUCUUGCUCACCAGUUGUAUAGAGUUUGGAAUACAGAAAAGUACUUCAUUUCACUUCUGUCAUAUACUGUACAGAUGUCUACCUCCAGUCUAUGGUAAAAUUUUUUUUUUUUCAAUUGCUUCCAAUUACUUGCUAUUUCAUAAAAAAGACCAGGCUAGCAGGAGUAAUGGAAGCUGAAGAGUCAUAGACAGCAAAUGUUUUGGAAAUUUUCAUUUUAAUAAGUUACCACGUGAAAAGCUUUUUACAGUCGUAUUAUCAGUCAGAAACUCAAGGCAGGAGAUUCAAUUUUUCAGAAAAUUCAUACUGAAAUUUAGCAUAUGAAUUUGUACCAAGCAAAGACUUAGGUGGGACUUGGAAAACACAACUUUAUGAAAUUAUUCUCCAAUAUUAUACAGAUAAACAUUUAAAGAAAAUAACAAUACAUCAAAGGAAAAACAAAUGAAAAAGCAUGCAAUUAUUUUUGAGUGCAAUACGUAGCUAUUAAUAAACGACUAUUU